UCGCCCGCCGUGUGCGUCACGAGCCCUUGCCCCGGCCCCGCCCCUCCUGUCCUCGCCCGCCGAUUGCGUCACCAGCCCCGCCCUGCCCUGGCCCCGCCCCCUCCCGUUUCCCUUCUCAUGAACAAGGAGAUCUCUUGUGAGCGCAUGCGUACUGGGGCGGGCGACAAUGGCAGAAGCUGUUGUCAAGUGGGUAGGGCGGGGGUUGUGGUCACGUCCACGGCGUCGUUCCCGUAACUGUAUAAAAACGACAACGAGAGGUUGUAGGUAUUAGUAUGUUUUUUUUCUUCUCUUUUUGAAAUGUACCAAACAAUUUUUUCAGCCAACGAAGAACUUUUUUCAAAAUGUCAAGAUGCUGCAAAUGCUCGGGUGGGUCAGUCUGUCCACACACACAGUGAUGUGAAAACUCGUGUUCAUGUUUCUGAAGAGUCUGAAGAAGAAGGAUCUCGACCCGAAACGUCGCCUAUUCCUUCUCUCCAUCGACGCACGCCUCACCCGCUGAGUUUCUCCAACAUUUUUGUCUACCAUGUUUCGAAUGAUCCUGACACUUGAAGGAAUAAACAUUAUCAAGAGCAUGAUGUCGGAGAAAUUGGAAAAGAAAGACAUGGUUUAAAUCACUUGCAAAAAUGAAGCUGGCAGCAUUGGUUGUAUUUGACCCAGUUUAAAAUAAAAUA